rnacentral:lncRNA from 1 species
GGUCUUUCUAUAACCUUUUCCCAACCACAAUUGUGAAUAAGAUAUGUCAAUUCAAAGUUGGGGAAGUCUUCUAACUUUACUGGCCUCUCGGGAAUGAUUGUCCAAUCACGCACAACAUUGGCGUAUCUGUAAGUGUUAUGCCCUAGAUCCAAUCGAUUUAGGUUGUAAACGCUUUUAAUAUAUUUAAUGCAUUUGAUUUUGGCGAGAUCUAUUAUUUAUUUAAAU